rnacentral:rRNA from 1 species
AGUGAACGCUGGCGGUAGGCCUAACACAUGCAAGUCGAACGGCAGCACAGUAAGAGCUUGCUCUUACGGGUGGCGAGUGGCGGACGGGUGAGGAAUACAUCGGAAUCUACUUUUUCGUGGGGGAUAACGUUGGGAAACUUACGCUAAUACCGCAUACGACCUACGGGUGAAAGCAGGGGAUCUUCGGACCUUGCGCGAUUGAAUGAGCCGAUUUCGGAUUAGCUAGUUGGCGGGGUAAAGGCCCACCAAGGCGACGAUCCGUAGCUGGUCUGAGAGGAUGGUCGGCCACACUGAAACUGAGACACGGUCCGGCCUCCUACGGGAGGCAGCAGUGGGAAAUAUUGGACAAUGGGCGCAAGCCUGAUCCAGCCCUACCGCGUGGGUGAAGAAGGCCUUCGGGUUGUAAAGCCCUUUUGUUGGGAAAAAAAAGCAGCAGGUUAAUACCCCGCUGUUCUGACGGUACCCAAAGAAUAAGCACCGCCUAACUUCGU